rnacentral:misc_RNA from 1 species
GGGUCAGUGUCUAGGUGUC